AGCUCUGCACAGUGGCGAUAUCGUAACCAACGAGGUUCUACCAAGUUGCGAUUAUUGCUAAUUAAAAAGAAAAACAUUGUGCUUCUAUUACUUCCUUAUAAAACGAAGGAAACUUUUCAAACAACCAAAU